rnacentral:lncRNA from 1 species
UAUCUGCAAUCAAGUUCUUUUACAGAGUGAUGCCGUAUCGAUCCAGGUUUACUAGAAAUCUCUAUGGGGAUCAUGACUGGUUCGAUGAGCUACCGAGCUUAAUACAAGCCAGGAUUGGAAACACUAGAUUUUAUUGAUUCGUGGCUACGCUUCCAUUAGUCAUUGGGAGGACGGACAAUACCUCGGUCUAUGCACUUUUCAGGAGGUGGAUGGACCCUACCCAUACCUUUCAUAAUCUAGUUGUUGAAUUGACGCUAUUCCCU